rnacentral:lncRNA from 1 species
UUCCCACUAUCUGAGACUCUGCAACUUUAAAGCAAGAGUGGGGUACUUUAAAGGAAAGGUGGUAAUGGUUGGAUAAUGGGUAACAAUGUCUACCAUAUGCUUCCUUUUGCCAAAACAAGUUCCUGUCUACCAUCAGCAUUUCCAAAAUUUGAAAAUUAAGUGUUGUGUUAACUCAUUAACUAAUGAAUAGACUUUGAGCAGUUGUGGAAUCAAAAUCUCAGUAUAUAUUGGGUGAAGGAGCAUUAUGUAUGGAACCUCUCACAAAACAGGGCUGAAGCAGUGCCUACUCCAUAGAAUCAGUCAUCAUGCAAAUAAAUGCCACCUGAGUCAAAGGCAAAGCCAACGUGCAGCUUGGAGCAAAGAAGGUACUUCUAUUAAGAAUUUUACAUAAACCGUAAGAUACAUUUUAUAUUACUUUGUGAGCCUACUUCCUGUCUUAAUUCUUUCUGAGAGAAUUCAUUUCAUUUUCAUUUGGUUUGUUUUCUUUUUGUUACAAAGAUGAUCUAUAGAAAAUAUAGAAGUAUAAGAAAAUUAAAGAUACUGACUAAUAAUCACUUAAUGAUUUAGUAUCUGAUUGUUUAGUCUUUGUUAUAUUUACUGUAGACAAACAUGUCUACAGUUGUAAAUUUAUUAUUGGUAUGUAUACCCUAGUAAAAGUUAUAUGUACUUUGAAGUUUUGCAAAGUUCAUGUUAUAGAAUUAAUUCCUGAUGAACUUUUAUGUGCUAGACACUAGUCUUUUAUUUAUU